UGGGGAAUAUUCCGCAAUGGCCGAAAGUCUGACGGAGCAACGCCGCGUGAGUGAUGAAGGUUUUCGGACUGUAAAGCUCUGUUGUUUAGGACGAAAGUGCCUGUUGCAAAUAGUUACAGGUAUUGACGGUACUGAACGAGGAAGCCACGGCUAACUACGUGCCAGCAGCCGCGGUAAUACGUAGGUGGCAAGCGUUGUCCGGAAUUAUUGGGCGUAAAGAGCAUGUAGGCGGGAAUCUAAGUCUGUUGUGAAAAUGCGGGGCUCAACCCCGUAUUGCGAUGGAAACUGGAUUUCUUGAGUGCAGGAGAGGAAAGGGGAAUUCCCAGUGUAGCGGUGAAAUGCGUAGACAUUGGGAGGAACACCAGUGGCGAAGGCGCCUUUCUGGACUGUGUCUGACGCUGAGAUGCGAAAGCCAGGGUAGCGAACGG
rnacentral:rRNA from 1 species